rnacentral:rRNA from 1 species
UACGUAGGGCGCAAGCGUUAUCCGGAAUUAUUGGGCGUAAAGAGCUCGUAGGCGGUUUGUCGCGUCGGGAGUGAAAUCCUACGGCUUAACUGUGGGCUUGCUUUCGAUACGGGCAGACUAGAGGUAUGCAGGGGAGAACGGAAUUCCUGGUGUAGCGGUGAAAUGCGCAGAUAUCAGGAGGAACACCGGUGGCGAAGGCGGUUCUCUGGGCAUGAUCUGACGCUGAGGAGCGAAAGUGUGGGGAGCGAACAGG